rnacentral:rRNA from 1 species
AAAGGAAUAGACGGGGACCCGCACAAGCAGAGGAGCAUGUUGUUUAAUUCGAAGCAACGCGAAAAACCUUACCAAGGCUUGACAUUUGAUGCAUAAUCUAGAGAUAGAUGAAAUUAUAGCAAUAUAACAUCAAAACAGAUGGUGCAUGGUUGUCGUCAGCUCGUGUCGUGAGAUGUUGGGUUAAGUCCCGCAACGAGCGCAACCCCUAUCAUUAGUUGCCAAUAUUAAGUUAGGAACUCUAAUGAGACUGCCGUAGAUAAUACGGAGGAAGGUGGGGAUGAUGUCUAAUCAUCAUGCCUCUUACGCCUUGGGCUACAAACGUGCUACAAUGGCCAUUACAAAGAGAUGCGAUACGGUAACGUGGAGCCAACCUCAAAAAAAUGGUCCCAGUUCGGACUGUGGGCUGAAACUCGCCCACACGAAGUCGGAUUUGCUAGUAAUCCCGAAUCAGAACGUCGGGGUGAAUGCGUUCCCGGGUCUUGUACACACCGCCCGU